UACGAAGGGGGCUAGCGUUGCUCGGAAUGACUGGGCGUAAAGGGCGCGUAGGCGGCUUGCACCGUCAGAUGUGAAAUUCCUGGGCUUAACCUGGGGGCUGCAUUUGAUACGUGUGGGCUUGAGUGCGGAAGAGGGUCGUGGAAUUCCCAGUGUAGAGGUGAAAUUCGUAGAUAUUGGGAAGAACACCAGUGGCGAAGGCGGCUCACUGGCCCGAUACUGACGCUGAGGCACGAAAGCGUGGGGAGCAAACAGG
rnacentral:rRNA from 1 species